rnacentral:rRNA from 1 species
AUGCAAGUCGAGGGGUAUUUAUCUUCGGAUAGAGAGACCGGCGCACGGGUGCGUAACGCGUAUGCAAUCUACCUUUUACAGAGGGAUAGCCCAGAGAAAUUUGGAUUAAUACCUCAUAGYAUAUMDASAUGGCAUCRWKMUUVUAUUAAAGUCACAACGGUAAAAGAUGAGCAUGCGUCCCAUUAGCUAGUUGGUAAGGUAACGGCUUACCAAGGCUACGAUGGGUAGGGGUCCUGAGAGGGAGAUCCCCCACACUGGUACUGAGACACGGACCAGACUCCUACGGGAGGCAGCAGUGAGGAAUAUUGGACAAUGGGCGCAAGCCUGAUCCAGCCAUGCCGCGUGCAGGAUGACGGUCCUAUGGAUUGUAAACUGCUUUUAUACGAGAAGAAACACUACUUCGUGAAGUAGCUUGACGGUAUCGUAAGAAUAAGGAUCGG